rnacentral:lncRNA from 1 species
GCCCAUGACUCCACUCAAUUAUCGUCUCUUUCAUUGCCUUUUAAUUGAGUGCUCACUGCUUCAUCAUCCCAUCCCAUGGUGACUUGUUCUAAGAUCAAUAUUCACAAACCCAAUCUUAAAUAUAUGAAUGUUGCUCUAUCAAUAAUUCCCUCCAAACCUCAAAGCAUUGCUUUUGAUCAUAAACAUUUUAGCUAGAAAGGAGCGAUGAUUGAUAAAUUAAAUGCAUUUGCUCUAAACAAGACUUGGGAUCUU